rnacentral:rRNA from 1 species
CCUACGGAGUGCAGCAGUGGGGCAUAUUGCGCAAUGGGCGAAAGCCUGACGCAGCGACGCCGCGUGAGGGAUGAAGGUCUUCGGAUCGUAAACCUCUGUCAGCAGGGAAGAACGGUCACUGUGCUAAUCAGCAGUGAAUUGACGGUACCUGCAAAGGAAGCACCGGCUAACUCCGUGCCAGCAGCCGCGGUGAUACGGAGGGUGCGAGCGUUAAUCGGAAUUAUUGGGCGUAAAGCGCUCGUAGGCGGUAUGUCAAGUCAAGGUUGAAAUCCCCGCGCUCAACGUGGGAACUGCCUUUGAAACUGGCAAAUUGUAGUGUGUGAGAGGAGAGUGGAAUUACAGGUGUAGGAGUGAAAUCCGUAGAUAUCUGGAGGAACAUCAGUGGCGAAGGCGACUAUCUGGCACAUAACUGACGCUGAGGAGCGAAAGCGUGGGUAGCAAACAGGAUUAGAUACCCCUGUAGUC